CCUACGGGUGGCAGCAGUGAGGAAUAUUGGUCAAUGGGCGCGAGCCUGAACCAGCCAAGUCGCGUGAGGGAAGACUGCCCUAUGGAUUGUAAACUUCUUUUGUCUGGGAGUAAAAUACGCUACGCGUGGCGUUCUGUGUGUACCCGAUGAAAAAGCAUCGGCUAACUCCGUGCCAGCAGCCGCGGUAAUACGGAGGAUGCGAGCGUUAUCCGGAUUUAUUGGGUUUAAAGGGUGCGUAGGGGGAAGAUAAAGUCAGCGGGAAAAUUGAGCGGCGAAACCUCUACGUGCAGUUGAAACUGGUUUUCUUGAGUGAGUGAGAGGUAGGCGGAAUGCGUGGUGUAGCGGUGAAAUGCAUAGAUAUCACGCAGAACUCCGAUUGCGAAGGCAGCAUACCGG
rnacentral:rRNA from 1 species